rnacentral:rRNA from 1 species
GUGACCUGCGGAAGGAUCAUUAUUGAAUGUUUAAGGAGUUGUAGCUGAUCUGAAAGGAUAUGUGCUCGCUUCUUUCUUCUCUCAACCACCUGUGCACCCUUUUGUAGUCUUGGAUACAUUUCAAACGAAAGUUUGGUUUUGGAGAGUUUUGCUGUAUUAUGAAAAUGAUCAGCUCUUUCUGUGAUUUCCAAGGCUAUGUUUUUACAUACCCCAUUAUAAUAAUUAAAGAAUGUUUUACUAGUUUGUGCCGUCAAAAAGCAUGACUAUAUUUUAAAAUACAAUUUUCAACAAUGGAUCUCUUGGCUCUCGCAUCGAUGAAGAACGCAGCGAAAUGCGAUAAGUAAUGUGAAUUGCAGAUUUCAGUGAAUCAUCGAAUCUUUGAACGCACCUUGCGCUCCUUGGUAUUCCGAGGAGCAUGCCUGUUUGAGUGUCAUUAAUCUCUCAACCUUGCCAGCUUUAUGGUUGUUGCAAGGCUUGGAUAUGAGGGUUUUUGCUGGCUCCUUAGUCGAGUCGGCUCCCUUUAAAUGUAUUAGCGGAACCUCUGCGAACCAUCAUUGGUGUGAUAAUAUAUCUAUGCCAUUGAUGUAAGCCUUCAUUUGUUUGAAGUUUGGAUCAGCUUAUAAUCGUCUUCGGACAACGUUAAUAGGAAUCUUUUU